ACUCAACAAUGCCUGCUCCUCUCUGACUGCACCGCCCCGCCGCCGACGCCCAGUAGAGCCCCCGGGGCGGUCCCCACCGACGGCGCAGCCCGCCGGGACCGGGAGAAAGCAGCUGCGGACACCGCGCCCGUGCGUCUGCGCGCCUGGCCGCCAGGUGACCCAGCAGCCCGGCCGCCGAGAUGCCCAACCCGCCCAGGCUCCGGGCGCUGUGACUUCGCGCCGCUGUGUGCGCCUCCCCGAGCGCCGGCUGCGCCCCCCAGCCCGGCCCGGGGCCUACCGCCUGCCCGGCCCCCUGCCACUGCCAGGAGGACGGCAUCAUGCUGUCUGCCGACUGCUCUUGAGCUUGGGCUGUCCGCCAUACCGGGGGACCUGGAUCCCCUGACGGCUUACCUGAAGUAGCAGGCCAGAGAGGACUCGAAGAUCCUUAGAAGGAGCCAUAGACGGAACCAUAGGAGGCGCCCAGGAGCUAUGGGCUCCAGAAGGUACCCGCAAGUCCUCUUGCACAUUCCUUGACCUGGUCUCAAUAAAAAUGACAUCACAUCUCUUCCCCCACUCCACGGCUGUGAGAUUUUCUCUUUCUAGCCAAUACCUUUCAUGAAGUAGGUGCUUCCACCUCUCCAUCUUUGUUCUAGGGAAGACCAGAAAGGCAUCUUUAUAGUCAACUGGUAUUCUUUGCCUUGAUACUCAUGUCCAAAAACUAUUACCACUUUUGGGCUCAAUGCCAGGCCUGUUUGAUCAAGGUUGGGAAGACACACUUCAGAUACUCACAAUCCUUCAUAUGUCUCUCUUUUUUCAACAGUUUCCUCCUAAACUGUGGUCUCAGCGAGGCUCAUUGACACUCACCGGGGUUUCGACAUUCUCCCUGGCUAGGGCCUGUUCUGGAAAUAGACCAAGGGGGAGAUGGAGCCCCUGGCCGUGGGACAUCCAAUCUGAUGGUGAUGAGAAGGCUGCUCAGGACCGAGGCUGAGACGGGCGACCAGGACGGGAUUGUAUGGCUGCAGGAGGCUACACAGUCCCAGGAGGCUGCUUCUAAGAGGCCCACGUGGCCUGCAUGGGGAUGCGCCUGGCUGUCCAGCAUGUGGUCAUUUGAAUUGUACAUGUUUCACUGGGAUGCCUACAGAAAAGUAGACAGAAGAUGUGGAAAAAGUUUUUGAAAUGUUGCAAACUUAGCUACUUUUAAAAUAAAAAAAAUAGCUUUAUAAUUAUAAAAGCAAUAUGUAAAUCUUAAAAUAAUUUGCUACAUUCUAGUAAGCAUCUUAUGAUCUCUAUGUGCCCUAUAACAUUAUGUUGUAUAGUUUAAAUAUAUACAAUAAAAUCUAUUUUAAAAAAUAGCAGGCAAUUAAAUCUCAUUUUAAAAAGAGUCAGUUUAACUCCCUUCUAAUUUCUACCCCUCGUUUUCCCUCUGUGUGUGUGUAUGUGUGUAUGUCAUCUUCGUUAAAUGGCUCAAUGCAUUCCGAAUAUUUUUUCCGUUGUCUUCAUGAUAUAUUCAUGGGAAGGGGAGUAUGUGGCUUAUUGCUGUUAGUUUAUCAAUAGAGAAUGCUGGCCAAAUGUCUUUAAGAGUAAUGACGAUCUCAAUAGCGGUAAUGACAGCUACCACUUUCGGAGCUCCUCCUGCCUACCAGGCACCACUGGGGUCCCUCUCUGCAGCCCCUCACGCCAUCCUCCUAGUCACUUUCUGAGGUGUGUGUGGUCAUCCUCCCAUUUGCAGGAGGGCUCUGAAGCACAGGAAGGUUCGAUACUUACCCCAUGGCCGGGAUAAGAUGGGCCAGGGCCAGGCUGUGAACUAAGGCAGAGAAGGGGCUCUCCAGCACCUUUCCUGAGCCCUUGCCUCCUCUGCCUCUGCCCCAUGGCCA
rnacentral:lncRNA from 1 species